rnacentral:rRNA from 1 species
CUUUACUACAACUUAGCAUUGGCAUUGAGCCAACGGUGUAUAGGAUAGGUGGGAAGCAAAGAAGUGGUGUCGCCAGGCAUCAUGGAGCUGACGUUGAAAUACCACCCUCUGUUUGUUUGAUGUCUAACUCUUGAAAGAGGACAGUGCUUGGCGGGUAGUUUGACUGGGGUGGUCGCCUCCAAAAAAGUAUCGGAGGCUCCCAAAGGUUGGUUCAGCACGCUUGGUAACCGUGCAAAGAGUGUAAUAGCAUAAACCAGCUUGACUGUGAGGCCAACAAGCCGAGCAGGGACGAAAGUCGGGUAUAGUGAUCCGGUGGUUCCGCAUGGAAGGGCCAUCGCUCAAAGGAUAAAAGGUA